rnacentral:rRNA from 1 species
UACGUAGGGGCUAGCGUUGUCCGGAUUUAUUGGGCGUAAAGAGCGUGUAGGCGGCCAUGUAGGUCCGGUGUGAAACUCGAGGCUUAACCUCGAGAUGUCAUCGGAAACCAUUUGGCUAGAGUCCGGAAGAGGAGAGUGGAAUUCCUGGUGUAGCGGUGAAUGCGCAGAUAUCAGGAAGAACACCAAUGCGAAAGCAGCUCUCUGGGACGGUACUGACGCUGAGACGCGAAAGCGUGGGGAGCGAACAGG